ensembl:lncRNA
UCUCAACUGGUCUUUUGUGUAAACAGAUUAAUAAUUGCUAGAAAAAGAGAACUUAAUUCUUAAAUUUCCUUGGUGGGUUAUCCCUGGCUAGGAAUUACCCAUAGGAAAAAGAACCCAGGAUCUAGAAGUUUCACUGGAGAAUAUCAUGCAAAUCACGUAGUUCUCUGGGGUGUAAUUGAAUCAUCUUGGAUUUGAAAUACCCCUAACUCUGAAGCACUUAAGAAUGUCAUUCAGAGACCUUCUGUACUUUGGACUAAAAGGACAUACCAAGCUCAAGCUAAAAGGACAGCAGAAGCUGAGGAGCUACAGUCAGUAUAUUAUUUGGGUUGGGGUAUUGGAGAAAGACCACAGGAAGACACAGGAGGACAAUAUUGGGAGAGAGGAAGAUGCUGGAGAUUUGAUAAUCCAUCUCUGAGACUGGGACAGUGAACUCACCUGGGCUAUAUACAUCAGAAUCACAGAGAAUGCUGUUGAGAUAAGAAGUCGCAAAUGUAAAAUUAAAAGGUCUGUAAGUAAGCCAAUUGGUGAAGCACUAUUUGAAGAUUAGGACAGCUGGAGAAUAUGAUUACAAAAAUUUUGAACAGCAUAAAAUGCUGCAUUAUUGGGUGAGUUUCAAAUUGACUCAAUUAUUUAGAUGCAGAAUUUGCUUUUACCGUGGGGGGAAAUGAUCUAGAAAUUUUCAAAUUAGAUAUUGAAGAGAUAUUAUAGGAGCAAAAUGUAAAACUAAAAGGGUAACGGGUAAGACAACAAUUAGUAGAAAGAAAUCUUGGAUUAAAUAUUAGAUUGAAGGAAGUUUUUCUAGAUUAAAAAUCACUUUACUUGGAGAAGUAAGAUCUUUUGAGCCGUGAGCAGUAUUGCAGGUCUAGGCAAUGCAUAAGAAGUAUAAUGCAGCAACUGUAACUGAAGUGUAAAGAAAUGUUGAAACUUUUACAUUCAGUCUAAUGGUAUCACAAGUAGUGACCUGUGCUUUACUUCAGACUUCUGAUCUGGCAAUUUACUUACAGCAAGUUACCUUUACCACUGAAUUUUAAGCAUAUUUAUAUAAGGAUCCAGGGAAACACAGGAGAACUAAUGUGUAAUAUAUGUAUUUGUUGUUCUUUGCUUAAGUGGUUAACCAAAGUAAAUGUAACAUAAAUCAAUUUUGAGUUGGCAAUCUCCCUAACCUUGCUGAAUAUGAAUGCUCUCAAAUAAGAGAGAAUUUAUGGAUUUUAAAGUCAUUUUUAUUUUAGCCAACUCUAUAUGGUUAAAUUUGGAGAAAUUUCUUAAAGCAAUCAAUUUUGGGUAUGCCAAAUAGAAGAAUAAUAUCAUGACCAAAUUUCCAAAUAGAAAGCAGAAGUAAAACUCAUGAGAUUGUGUCAAAUAGGACCUCUAAUCCUAGUUUUUUGAGGUAUCUCCAUACUGAUUUCCACUGUGGCUGCACCAGUUUGCACUCCCACCAACAGUGGAGAAGGGUCCCUUUUCCCUCAAAACCCCACCAGCAUUUGUUGUUGGUUGAUUUCUUGAUAGCAGCCAUUCUUUCUGGGGUGAGGUAGAAUCUCAGCGUUGUUUUCAUUUGCCUCUCUUGAAUGACCGGUGAUGUUGAACAUUUUUUCAUAUGUUUAUUUGCUGUUUCUACUUAUUUGUAUGAGAAAUGUCUGUUCAUUUCAGAUGCCCAUUUUUCUAUUCUCCUGCUAGGUAUCUUCCCCCCAAAAUUAAAAGAAUCAUAUCACAGUGAUAUACGUGCACCCAUGUUCAUGUGGCACAGUCUGUAAUAGUUAAAACUUGGAAAUAGACCACUUGCCCAUCAAAUGUAGACUGGAUAAAGAUAUUUUUUAUAAAAUGGAGUACUACUCAGCCAUAAAUAAUGAGAAACUAGAGACAUUGCACAUUGAGGCGAUACUCUUAAGUGAAAUAAAUAGGACACACAUGUAAAUACUGAAUAGUUUCUCUGGUGUGAGAAACUGAAAGUAUAAAUAGGGAUCAAAACAUGUAAUAGAUAAUGUGAAAUAGGAAGAAAAGGUCCAAAAGGGAAGCAGAAGUGGGAGGGGUAGGGAAAAGGAAUUAAUAUGAGAAAAGGAAAAAACAGAAACUAAGUCUUUGUAAAUAGGGAAGGGUGGAGGGGUUGAAUGGAGGGCAGGGGAAUGGGGAAAAAAAUAAGAACCAAGAUAUAUCAUGUAAAGGUUGAAAUUUCCCGAUAAUGAAUGUCAAACUGUUUACCUAAAAUGUACUGAUAAACUUAAUGAAUAAAGAACCCAAUGAGAUUAUCAAGGUAAGUACUUCUUCAAAUGGGAGAAAUAAAAUAGAAACAAAUUGAUGGAGUUCAGUGGCUUUUGGAAAUUGAAAAGAAUGAAUAACAGAAUGAAACCAGAGGACCAUUUAAGGAGGAAGUGACUGGAGUUAUCCACAUUAUAAAAUUGUGAAUGGUGUUGACAGAAGAAUCUGCUAUUAAUGUAAAUUAUCCUACUCCUAAGAUAACUGCUUAAGAGUCCACCUGGGAUAACAGGUAAAUGUGAUGAGUGUGAGAACAGAAGAGUCACAUAGUCCUGGCACUUUGCUAGACCUUGAUUAUCUAUGACAUUCUAAGGGAUAUGGACAAGUUGGUUUCAUUUAUUUUAUUAUUGAAACUGGGAUUUUACUUUCUAAACUUAAAGGAAGUUUUCCUAAGAUUGAAAGAUUUGAGAGAUUGAGAGUUCCAAGGCUAUUCAGUUUUGAAAGAUCAGUUUAAAUCUAAGUUUCAAAGCAGAAGAUUUGUGAGAUUCUUUUUUUUUUUGUAUUAAAUUCUUUUAUUGGUACAUUGUAGGUAUACAACACAAUUACAUUUCUCAUUGGGAAUUUUACCUUUAUAUAAUGCAUCUUGGUUCUUAUUUUUUUCCCCAUUCCAACCUAAUAAGUAUCAAGCAUCUGAUUGAAUUAAUAAUCAUUGUAGAUUUCAGCAGUGGAUAAGCUUACAAAGAAUGAAUAAUGUCUUAUCUACCUCUUGUGCAUUUGGAAGUGUUAAACCACUAAAAUUUUUGGAAAUAUUUCACAUGAAUACUAUAUAAAGAAGUAAAUGUCUGAGUGUAUAAUUUGGUAGUUGAUCAUCCCCUAUGUAGGUGGUACUCUUGACAGACUCUCCAAUGAGCUAUAGACAAUUUUAUUCUAUAAGAAGCAGUCUGAAAUAAAUAUACAGCAAGGGAACUAAUACACCUUGCUUCUGAACUAAUACACCUUGCUUGACCCAAAUGUGACUUUAAAGACUUAUCGUCGACUUCAACUAGGAUGAUCAUGUAUUCUUGUUCAUCUAGGAUUGUAUUACACUCAUUGCUUUUGUAUGACAAUGUUUUCACUAUUAGAAUAGUUCUUCUUUAGAAGACAAAUCAUACGGUCAUCAUGACAUUAUAGAGGAUCUAAAGUGAAUAUCAAACCCAAUUGCUUCCAUGAUAGCUACAGAGAUUUUUACAAAACAUGCAACCUUGAGAAAAGGGCUUAGAUUUGGCAAAUACAUUUUGCUCUGUAACUCUGAAAGAGACAUAGCAAUGCAAAACUACUUUGAGGGGCAUUGUAUACAAUGGAUGUAACUGUUGUUCUCCAACAUUUAUGGUACAUAACACGAACAUUGGUAAAGGUGUUAAAGCAAUUUUAGAUAGAUUUUAAGACAAAUGAUAAAUUGUAUUAAUGUCAAAACCAGAGGAUAAUCUUUGGGAAAUAAAUAGGCAGUCUUAAGAACCUGAAGUUGGUUGUUUGGAGGUAAAUAGGAAAGGGGAAAACAACUAGAAUGAACUCUUUCCUGGAGAGAAAAGAAUAUACUGAGAUAUGUAUAAAUCAAAUAACUAGGUCAGUACAUAGGCCAAUGAUCUGUUGUUAUUUGUGUAUUUAUUGAACUCUACCAUGAACUUGAACACCAAAUAAUGAACUGGCCCUGCCUAAAGCCCUAGAAUAUGGAUGACACCAGCUAUGAUUGGACAAUAAAUGGACUGGAGAACAGUAGGAGGCAGCAUUCUUGGGCAAGUGCAUUUGGUUUUCUUCAGAUAGAGUAGGUGUCCUUAUGUUUAUUCCUCUCUUAUAAGUGCAGAGGAAGACAUAAGGCAGGCCUGUAGACCUAUUAGACUGUAAGCCCUAACUACAUGCUUUUAUGGUUUCAUUCAUAACAAAAUUAAAAUUUUUGUCCAUCCUCACAUUAGUUCUGAUUUAAUAAGAAGAAAUGGACAUAUUUUGGUAGACCCUCUCAAAUCCCAACAUUAGCUCAUAUUUAUGUCCUGGUCUUCAAGCUAUUUGUGAUUUUAGUCACAGUGCUAAUACAGAUCCUAGAACACAGUUUGUGAUUGAGGUAAAAAAUUAUCUAAGCAGGUAUGGUGGCACACGCCUGUAAUCUCAGCACUUGGCAGGUGAGACAGAAGAAUUGCUGCAAGUUCAAGGCCAGACUGGGCCACAUAGUGAGUUCAAGGCUAGCCUGAACUUCAUAGAGAGAUCCUAUCUCAAAAAAAUUUGUUUUACUAUAAUAAAAACCUAUGACUGAAGAAAUUAAAAAGUCUAAGAAACAAAAUCGUUUCUGUUCCCAAAUGUUAGCCUUUUUUCUAUUAUCCUUAGCUUUGUCUUUAAAUGAUAAGGAACAAGUUAACCAUCUUAGGAAUGACCCGGUCAUAACAUAGCAAAUGGGAGAUAAAUUAGACAUGUUGAGGAAAAUUUUGGAAGGUUUUAAAUACUAGAUUAAAAAGUUUGAAGUUAUUUUGAUAGGUUACUGGGAGUUGUUGAAAAAACUGUUGAGAAAUAUAAUGUAAGUGGUAGAGGUAGAUGAAAAUUAUAAGGGGAAAGACUGAAGCUUGUAAAACAUUUUGGAGAGUAGUGCAAUGUUGUGAGCAUUAGGUAAUAGUGGCUUAAGUUAGAUUGUUAACAAUAAAAAUGGAAAUGAAUAUUUACUUUUAAAAUUUAGGAAUAUGAAAAAAUAUUUUCAAUGUAUUGUUAAUAUUAGUAUGAUUACAUUCUAUCUUUGUUCCCAAGUCCAUCCAAGUAUUUUUACAGUCCCAGAUUAUUCAUAGAACGUUUCACAGAUGCCAGAAAAAUGAACCUUUACUCACUAUAAAUCUGUGAACAGAACCAUGAUGCAAUCAAUGUUGUUUUUUAGAAGCAAAUUCAAUACUCCCACUUCGAAAGUGGUGCCAAGGUUAUAAUUUAACAGCAGUUUAAAAAUUGAAUUAACGCUGACCAUUAAUCAUCUACUUCCUUAAGGCAUCAGUUUGAAUUUGCUAUUGUUCUGCUGGAAGAUUUUCCAUGGUCCCUCUUGUCCUCUAGAAUCCACAAUUAGUCCACCAGAAUUUGGAAUCAACCAAACUUCUUUCUACUCCCCUAUGACAAGUUCCACUAAGGAAAAAAAAAAACAAAAACAUAAGUCAACAUCUUACUCUGUACUCAAAUUUCACUCCCACCUUUUAAAUUUUUUAUUAAUAUAUGUUUGUGAUACAUAACAAUUAUAUUCACCUUGGGGCAGCAAUGGUGAAGCUAUGGCAAGUGUUCUGCAGCUGGAUGUUUGUUGUCAUUGAAAGCUCUAGAUGUCUUGGGGCAUUGGUACCUGUACAUACACAUCUUCAACAUUUGUCUGCUCUUCCCACCCUGGCAUUUUCCUCUUGCUCCUUCCCAGAAUCCCCUUUCCAUCUCUACAGAGUCUGUCUCGUAGCAAAUAGGAUUCAAAUAUGCUUUAAAAUUUGUGCAGUUGAUUUAAUUAAAGUAUUAUGGGUGUUACAUCAUUUUCUUGGUUUUAAUUUUUUAUCAGUCUAUGUUUGCAGUACACAAUGAUCAUAUUCCUGUGGGGAGUUGGUGCAUGUUCGCAACGCAUCUCAUUUCUCUUUCUCAUCCCCUUGUCCUUCUCCUCAUCCCUCCAUUUUUAAUUUUUUUUUUGGUACUAGGGAUCAAACUUGGGACCUUGAGUUUGCGAGGCAGGAGGUGGAACUACUGAGCUAAAUCCCCAGCACCCAUCCCUCCAUUUUUGAUCCCCUUUCUCCUUUGAAAAAUACAUGUUCUGCACUUCCUGUCAUUUUCUGUUUUGCUCUUUGUAAUUUGGGUUUCUCAUAUAAGUGAAGUCAUGUGUCUCUGAUUUAUUUAACCAUCUCAAAGUGCAGCUUUGUCCCUACAAAUAAUUCAAGUUUACCCUUCCUCGUGGCAGAGGAGUACUCCAUUGAAUAUGAACACCACGUUUUCUUAGAAUGACUAUAAUCAAGAAAUGAAUUAAAAAAAGGAAAAGGAAAAAAAAAAAGGAAGUGAAAUAACAAAUUCCGGCUAAGGCUAUGGGGAAAAAGGUAUCAUUAUGCAUUGCUGGUGGAACAUAAACUAGCACAACCGCUAUGAAAAUCAGUAUGGAGAUUCUCAGAAAACUGAAACUAGAAAUUCCAUUUUACCCAGCUAUUUCCCUUCUUGUUAUCAUCCCGAAAGAGUUAAAGAUAGCAUAUUACAGGGAUUCAUGCACACUUAUGUUUAUUGCAGCACAAUUGAUAACAGCUAAAUAUUGGGAGCGGCCCAUAUGUUCAUCAAUGAAUGAAUGGUGUCAUAUCUUUGAAUGUGAAAGUGUUGGAACAAGAGAAGAACAUGGUUAAUUUCAUUCAUUUUUGAGCUGCUAAGACGUGAAGUAUUUUUUCCUUAAGAGGCUACUCUGAGGGAUAAGUGGUAAUCUUGUUGUAAGGUCUACUUUAACUAUGUAAAAGAAAAUGGUGGAUUUUGAGGUCUCUAUUCUUGUUCCUUGGGGAGGCACAAAGGCCUGUCCAAUCUGACAUAAAGCUAAUCCUGCUGAAAUGACAACUUUACAACAGUAGUGAAAUUCAGCAGCAUACCCUAAGUUUCUGAUUGAUAGCUAAAUACUGGGAAGGUAUUCUAUGAGCAAUUCCUCAGAUAAGUGCAGUAACUAUAUAAAUAGAAGAUAAAGGUUUUUAUUAGUAGACUGCCUAAAGCAUAAUCUGUUGAAGACACGAAUAAAUCUUGAGCAGGUUAUAUUAUUAAUGGGCAAAUUAAGUCUUCCAUAAAUUAACUAUUGGAAUGCAAAUUAACUAUCGAAAUGCAACCUUCUCAUUUUCAGACAAACAAGACUUCUUACUUUUAUGAUAUUGACAUAGGAACAUUACCAUUUGUAUAAUAGCAUAACAUUUUUAUGCCUUCUGUUAUGACCUAAUUUGGACAUUUUUAUUGUUAAUUUUGCUCUGUAGACAAAAUUGGUUUAAAGUUGUUACAUGCUAUGAAACAUUUAUAAUAAACAUAUUCGACUGAAUAAAUUGUCUACUUAAACAGAGAUGAAUACUUGUGAUCUAGGAUUAAAUUUGAUAGGAAAAUGCAUGUGAGAAUCUCUUUAAGAUGUGGGAAGAAAACAGAUGUUUGGUUUAUUUGGCAUAUUGGAAGAAUUUAUUUUUAAAGAAUAAAAAUUUUAUUUAAAUAAAUAAUAUUUGCUUAUCAGGAGUUUGAAAAUGGGAAAGAGAAAAGCAAUAAAUAUCAAACCUUAUCUCAUUGUGCAGAAAUAUUACAAAUAUAUGAGACUGAAUCAUAUGAAGUAACUAUUUUUAUAGGAAACAAAGGUCAGUGAUGACCAUGACCGUGAUAUACUAUACAAACAAAUAUUAUACUUUUGUAUUCAAUUCUGUGAUUUUUAAGAUGAGUUUUAUAUAGUUAAAUUUUAUGAUUUAAAAUUAUUCAAAAGUUGGUAAUUUUGAAUAGUUGGUAAUUAUUCCUACAGGUAAAAUUUGCUACUGUGUUGUUGAACAUGUAGAUUCCUUAUAACUUUUUGCUACUAUAAAAAAAUCACAGUGGUAACACAUGUAUGUCAUGCUUUGUAGAUUUGAUUAAGUUUUGUAUGAUACAGUCUUAUAAGUAGAAAUGCUGGGCCAAAGAAUAAGAUGUAUCACUCUUAUUAUUUCUUAUUCCCAGAACUCUUCUGUUUUUUCUCUUCAUCCUGGGCCUUCAUCCCACUAUUAUCAAAUUAUAAAAUUUCUCUUUUAUAGUUUUUAGAUAUGUAGCAGGAAUGUAAAAGCUAAAUAAUAUAAUUUGAUACAUGAUAAAAACAAAUAUAGAUGCUUUAAUUUUUGCAAUUGGAGAGCUUACAGUUGAAUAAACCAAUAAUAUUAAAUGUGUUUUUCUGUGAAUACAAAUUUUUAAAAAAUAUUCUCUUGGUUAAAAUUUUUUUUAAAUGUUGAACUUCACAGAAAUAUUCUUUGUGAUUUUACUGUAAAAUCAAAUCCCAUAUGUGUUUAGUGCAAGUUGUAAAUUAUAUAUGUGCUCGAUUUUGAGCAUGUAAAGUUCUAAAUAUCAGUCUCUUAAUUUCAUGAGGCUUUAGUGUAUUGGAAGUAUCUUUUUAGUUUGUCUUGACAUGGAAUGCUAUUUUAUAACUAUCAUUAUGUGUUCUCUAUUAUCCUCUUCUCUGUAUAUGCGUGACUUAUUUGACUCUACGUGAAGAAAUGUUUGUCUUUUUCUUUCUAUUAAGCCACAGUUGAAUAAUAUGUUAAGGCCAUCAUAAUUAAAUUAUAAAUUUGUGUUGCUCUUUGGUACUUUUUAGCUAUUAGGUGUCUCAUAAGACAGAUGUUUGUGAUACUUUAUAUUUUUAACAAGAAACUACCUAUAAUUUUUGUGUGGAAUUAUGUUUUAUGUGAAGUCAGUAUUUUUGACCUUUCAUUUUCACAAGCAUUCUCAAUUAUAACUUUUGAUAGGCUUUUGGGAACUUGUCUGAAGUACAUAAGUUGGACAUUGUUCAAUUUCAUUUCAUUAAAUUUGCUUCAUCUCCAAUUUGAAGACAUAUUGUCAAGUACAUAGAGAUUUAUCAUGGUGGUAUCCUCUUGAGACUUAAUUCUAUUAUUAUGAAUUGUCCCUCGCUAUUCAGAUAAUUAUAGUACAUCUAAUAUGACAACAGCAAUAAUUUGGAGGGUUUAUUGAAGUUCACUGUGAUGGUCAGACACUAAAGUAACCUCCCUAAAUUUCUUCUUUCUUAUAUCCAUGCCCUUGUAUAAUUUUUCCUUUAACUUUCUUCUAACCAAUGGGACAUAACAAACAUAUUGAGGUUGUAGUGUACUACUGAUGACAUAUCAUGACUAUAAUAGUAAUAAUAUUCACAGGCCUACUCAAAUAUCUUGCAGUGUUGACCCAAGUGCUACUUUGCAGUAAGAUGCAGAACUCAACUGACCUCCAGGAGGCACAAUCACCACAGCACAUAUGUGGCAUUCAUAAACCUUAGAAGAAAGAAGAAGUUUCAGCUUCUUUUACAAAGGAAAUACCUGGUAAUUCAUCAGGAAUGAAUGAAGAUAUAAGAAAAGUGGAAGGAUCUCCUAAAUUCUGAGAAUGGUCUUGGGAUGGAGGACACUACUACAACAUAAGUCAGGGAGUCAUCUGAUCCCUUGACUGUAGCUGGUUCAAGCCACCAGCCUGCUCUAUCUAUUUCAUAAGAGUACUUCCAGAAUAUAUGCUUCAGCAUCUGACAGGGUUUAAAAUUCAUUUUUGACACAAACUGAAACACAGGGAAAUAGUAGCCCAGGGGAGGUUGUUUGAGUAGGACCAUCCAAGAGCCUUGGGCAUGAUAUAGGGGAUAGUUGAACUCCAUAAUGCUAGUUGAUACACUAGAUUGCCUUCCCUUUGUUCCCUUUACUGGCCUUGAAGAAAAGGCCAUGUCAGAAAAAUCCAUGCUACAAGGAACUGAAAGUGAAAUUUGCACAAUAGCUUCCUGCAGCAAGAAACUGAAAUCUCUGAAGUGAAAACAAGGAUUCUGUUCACAGUCAGAGGGAGCUUGAAAGUAGAUAAUUUCUCAAUUGACCCUUUGACAAGAGCUUAGAUCUCAACCCUAAUCUACAGGUACGUUGCAGCCUCAUAAAACCUUGAAGUAGAAGACCAAUUCAAACAGUGCCCAGACCUCUGACUUACAGAAAUUGUGGAUAAUAAUAUGUCUUUUCAGCCACUAGUUUUUAAAAUUUGUUUUGUAGCAAUACCCACUGAAAAGAUUCAGCCUCAUCACAGUUGUUCUUCUAGCAUUUGCAGAAGUAUAUACAAGUAAAUUUAAAAGGACAUGAUAGGGACAUACUUUAAAUUUGAUCAGCCUAUCAGGUGACACCAUCUCUGCCAUUUCCAACUGGAAUAAUAGUGGUAGUUCUUCUCACUCUUUGACAAAGUGGAUAUGUGCAUUUUGGUGGUUUUCACUUGGCAUUUAUUGUCAUUAUAGGUCUUAGUCCACAAUUCAGGGAAUUAAUUUGACAGUUGCAGUAAUUACUUAAUACAUAUUUCUCAGUUCAGUGACAGAGACUUGGUCUUCAUAUACCCUGAACCUAUUCAGAAGCUGUGGUGGCAUUUGGGUACCCUAAUAUGUCAACCUCACACUGAUGACUGGAUAGUUAAAGGGCUAUUGUUUACAGUGUAAACAAGGCCUGAUUAUUUCUUUCUACUGAGAGUUGCUCUGGUAAACUGUCACAGGCCAACUGGAAAAAUGUUAAAGUGAGCAGUACUAUAUAUAUGUUCUGGAUGUUGCAUUUCCUUCCUCAAGAAGCUGUAAGUAUCUAUGUAAUUGACUGGAUCUUAACUGAGAAGCAAGACGAUUACAAAAAUGCGUUUGGAGUGGAGUUUCAUUGUAAUGGUUAAUAUUAUCUCUCUGCUCCCACAUUUUUAUUUGAUUUCUAAUUUUUAUUUUUUUUGUCUCUAUUGAUGUAUAAUUGACAAAUAAGAAUUAUAUUUAUUUAAUAUGUGCAAUGACAUCUAUAUGCGCAUACAUAUUCUAAAAUGUUCACCAUACUCAAUCUUAUGAAAAUAUCCAUCACUUCACAUAGAUACCAUUUUCCUCCUUUUAUUUAUUUUUUAAUGGUGAAAAUACUUAAGAUCCAUACUGAAAAGUACUGAAUUGGACACUUGAAAUUUCUAACUCUAUUUACUGUGGGGUACAUUAGAUUUCCAGAAAUUUUUAUCUUGCAUAACUGGCAUUUUGUAACCUUUGGAGAGAAACAAGAAGAAUUUUACCUCUUCCUUUUCUGGUUGAGAAAUAAACUGAAACAAGUCAGGUCAAUAGGAGAAAAGUAUGCAGAUUUAUUUAAUGCAGAUUUUAUAUGGCUUGGGAGUUUUUGUAAAGAAGCAAAGAACCAAAGAAACAGAGUUAACCAUUUGCAUACUGAGUUGGACAAAGGAUAGUACUUUGAGAAAAAGCAACUAAAUUAUGCAGGAAAGCUUAAAAGGUAAGCAUUAUUUUAAAAAAGGUUUUUGCUGAAUCCUCUUGGUCUUGACUUCUGUCAGUAACAAUGCUGCUUUCUUUCUCAUGAAAGGAAGGCAGCUUUCACAUCUGGUGUCCCCUCUAUUCCCCUAUUUCAGACCCAGGAGCUGGCACCUGCUAGUCAAAUGCUUAGACUCUGAGCCACACUCCCAGCCCUUUUGGAGAUAAGGUCUCGCUGAGUUACUCAGGUGCCUUCAAACUUGCAAUCCCCUUGCUUUAGCCCCCUGGGUAGUUGGAACUAGAGUGGUGUGCUACUGCAUCCAGCAUACGUCUGUUUUUGAGAGGCUGAAGGUGAAGAUGAUCUUGCUUCUGCUCUUUUAAAAUUACCUUGAAUUCUACCUAGUCAAAAUUUCAGAGUGUGCAUUUUAAACUCCAUUAUGUUUGACUGGGAACUAUUUAUGUAUUCUCUGCAACCACCAUUCUAGUCUCUGCUUGUAGAUUCCUCAUAAAGUGAAUUCAUGUCCUACUUGUCUAUCUCCUACCAUAAAGCCCUCUAGUUUCACUCAUAUUGUCAAAAAUGUUAGAGUUUUAUUUUUUAAGGCUGAGCAGUAAUUAUAGUAAUCUCUGUCUCCCUCCAUUCUUCCUCCUCUCUGUCCCUCUACCUUUCUCUUUCCCUGCAACUUUCUUUCUCCCCCUCCUCUAUCUCUCUCUCUUUCUCCACACAUAUCAUUAUCCAUUCAUCUGUCCAUGGACAGUUAGGUUGGUUCUAUAUCUUGGCUAUUUUAAGUAAUGCUACAGUGAAUGUUAACUGCAAUUUUAAAAAUUUGAUAUAUGUUUAAUUUAGAAAAAUCUGUAAGGAUAGUACAAAGAUCUCUUACUCCUUACUACUGUGUACUCCAUACUUAGAUUCACCAGUUGUUGUAUUUUGCCUUAAUUUAUGGUUUGUUGUUUUUCUGUGUGUACAUGUGAUAUUUCUUCUAGAUCAUCUGUGAUCAAGUUGAAGGCAACAUGCCCUUUAACUGAGUAUGUUAUUGUGCACUUAUUAAGAACAAGUAUAUUAAUAAUCAGAGCACAAUUAUCACAAUGAAAAUUACAACAUUGAUAUAAUUCUAUGAUUUAAUCCAGAGUUCAUGUUCAUGAGUGAUCUCAAUAAUGUUUCUCAUAUGUAUUAUGUUUUCAAGUUUAGGAAAUAAUCUAAAAAACAUGCACUGAAUUAAGAUAUCCUGCCCUCUUAGUCUCUUAUGCUAUGAAAGUUCACUAGGCUGUACUUGCCUUUCAUGAACUUAGUUUUCGUGAAAAAUAAAAGGUACUUCAUUUGCAAAAUGUCCCAUCAAUUCAGUUCUUUCUGAUGUUUUGUCAUGAUAAAGGUUUAAAUUAUCCCAUUUUUUUUUUAGAAAUAAAACUGAAGAGGGUGAGAUUCUUAUUAGGUUAUUAUACCAGGAAGUAUGUAAGAUCAGUCUGUCUUUGUAUUAGUAAUGGUAAUUUUGAUCAUAUGACUAAGGUGGUGUCUUCCCAUAAAGAUUUUUUAACUGUAAAUUUAAAUUUUUGUCCUUUGUUUUUAUGUAAUCUGUGGGAAGAUAUACACUUAACUAUGCAAUUGUUUUCUUCCUCAUUUAACUUGCUCCACUAUUUCAAUAAGUUUUAUCAUUACUUAUUUUCAUGCUAAAAGUGGCUUAAAUUUGGCAGCAAGAACCCCUUCAGAUGAGUCUUUUAUUGUCUGACAUUUUUCUGCCAUUUGUUGGCAUUUUCUUAUUUUCUGGAAUAACAAAGUUUUCCAUUCUCAUUUGCUUUUGUUUCCUUAGUCCUAAAAUAAGCUUUUAAUUAAGGAGAUUUGGUUUGUUUUAGUGGAGAAGGUUUUCAGAAACAAACAUUUGGCCUCUAGAUGCUUUCAUUGUUACCAGUAUGUAAUUGCUUAUAGAUUUUCUAAACGGGCAAAAUAAGGAAACAUACACAGGGAUGGUAUUUCCCUUGUGAGGCUGUGCUGAGACUUGCCCUUGGUUAUUAGUCUACAAUUAGCAGGAGAAAUGGUUUUCUGAGAAUCAUGAGGAUAAGUUUUCAAGAUUUAUGUGUUAUUUGAGAACUUUGCUUAUGAUCUUAGUUUUAAACGUCAAUUUCUUUGUUAAAUAUGGUAACGAAAAAAAAUUGUAGUGGAUUCAUAAUGAUAGAAUUAAAAAUUAGCUAUUUUUCUUCCUGCAGUCAGAGCUGGAAAGUAUUUCCCUACAUGUCCUUGGAAUCACAGUUUUACAGUUAUUAGAAAUUAAAGAAAUGAGCCUUAAAAUUGUCUUAGUUUCAAGAAAGCACACCAACAUAGAAAAUGUUAUUUGCCUACAGUCUUGAAUUAUGACAUACGAAUGUCUGAGUUGAAAGUAGAAUAUAGUUUUUUUGGCUGCAUAAUUAUUUUCCAUUCAUUUGCCUCACAGAAGACCCCGUAUAUUAUGUACCAAAUGAUUGUGUGACUUUGAGAGAAAUAUUACUUUAUAUUACUGGUACAUAAGCCAAACAUAACCUUUUCUGCUUCAUAUUAUUAAGUGUCUGAUUACAAAGUCACACAUCCUAAUUCUGGGUGGCACUGGAUGUCAAUAUGAUAUAUAUCAUCUGGAUACAAAGGGAAAAUGCAGUUGGCAAUUGGGUUGCUGGUCCAGUUAUAAAGAUGUAAACACUAUGAGUAGCUGAAGUUUUAUUUCUGCGUCAUUCUGGUCCUACAUGUUCUCUGCAGUCAUUUUAAUGUCAUUGGGCAAUUUUCUGCCUCCUCUCCAGAAAAAUUGAUGGCAAUAUAUUUAUAGUGAAAUCUCAGGAGCCAAUUUUAUUUUUAAUACCCACAAAUACUCAUUUCACAUUUGCUCUAUAAAUCUUUGUUUUUCUUGUUUGUCUAGAGUUCUCUGACAUCACACUUUAGUGACUCCUUAAGUUUUCCUCCUACCUGGUAAUACUUUUUGCUAUGGCUCUCCAAGGACCAUGAGAGUAUCUGGGAAAUUUAACUGGUAUGUGGAAAAACAGCCUUAAAAAUUUCUAGCAACAAGGUUAAUUGGAUUAGAGGUGACAGACCUGAGUUGUAUAUUUUAAAAAGCAAAGCCUAGAUAUAUAUUGAUAGACUUAAAAUAAUUUUAAUGUUACUCCUUCUGUAUUGAUAUUACUUAGGCUCAUGACACAUUUCUAGUCCCAAGGACAGCAAUUUUAUCACAUACAUACAGGAGUAUGGAAUAAUUUUUGGGUUAGGUCAGUGUAUAUAGUGGUUUCAAGUUUGUAAAGAUUCUUUAUUUUAACCAUAAUAGCUAAGGAUAUAUUGUUUACACUAACUUUUGAAUAUUACAGAUACAAGCAUAAGAUCCCAAGCAGAAUUUUUGCUGUUUCUUUUUAAUACAUGAGCAUGGUUCUAGAUGAAAACAGAGGAAUUUUAAGGAGAACAAUGAACAGUUGGAAACAUAAAUAUUUUUCAGGAUUUAAGAGGCUCUUCAACAUGAUUUGCCACGCCUAAACAUUAACAAAACUAUCUCAUCCCUUAUUCUAAUCAUUCUUUGCCAGUUGCAGAAAAAAAGGAGGAUAAAUAUGUAAAUGAUACGCCUGAAUUUAUGUAAGAAGGAAGUAUGUUCUUUUAUCACCAAACCCUUUAGUUUCUGUCUCCUUAAAACAAAAGCAAUCACCAUAUAAUUAUCAAAACCAGGCAAUUUAACAGUGGUUUAACACUAUUUUCUAAUCCAAAUUCCAUAUUGAAAUUGUAUCAAUUGUUCCAAUAAUACCUUAAUUUUAUUCUUAAUUUCUCACUAGGUAAUCCAAUGUAGGCUCAUUCAUUGUAUUUAUUUGCUAUAUGCCUUUAAUGUGGAACAAUUUGGCAAUACUCACUUUUCAAAACUCAUAUUUCUAUCUUAAAUAUGGCAAUGUCUUACAGAAUACUUUCCAAUGUGAUUUUUCUGAUAUUUACUCAUAAUUAAUUUCAGCUAUUGCAUUUUUGGUAGGAAUAUCAUGGCAGGGCAUUUUGUCUUGCUGAAGGCACCAUGUAAGAGGCCUAUAAGACCAGUUUGUCAUUAUGUUAGUGAAAUUAAUUUGACCAUGCAUUUAGAUGUUCUGCGUCAAGGUUUUUCCUUUUAAAGUCACUAUUAUCUCUUCAUAACUGUUAAAUGAUGCAUGGGAGAGGCUUUGAUACUAUGUAAAUACUACAUUUCUUCUCACACUGUGCUCUCAAUCAUUUUAAUAUUCAUUGAUGAUUUUCUAACUCCAUAAUUGCUUCUAUAGUUCUCUAUUGGCAUUCUAAUACCAACAACACUUAUUUAUUUCUGCAAGGCUACAAGGGCCUUUAUUUUAUUCAGUGGUUUUUAACUCCAUUAUGAUUUGAUAUUCAAAGUAUUCUAGAUUGGUCAUCUUGAGCAUAUCUAGACAUUUGAUACUUUUUAUGUGUUCUUAUCACUGUUUGAACACAUUUUUCUAUUGUUGUGUAAGAUGUACCAGGAAUAGCAGGCUGCCAUAGAACUGCUCCCAGCACAGAGGAAGUGUGCCACUUGGGUGCCAGCAGCACACCUUCCCCCCUCACCCCAUCGAAAUGAGAAGACAGGAAAACAAGCCUCAAAAUCAGACUUCCAGAUCACCUACAGCAACCCCAAAGGGAAACAAGAUGGAACAAUCUGAUACUCAACCAUCUGGAUUCUCUGAACUGGCAACAAAAGAGGAUCUGGAAAAAAUGAAAUCAGAAAUAAUUUCUCAGAUAACAGCAGAGAUUGUGCUCAUAGUGCAAGACAUGAUUAAUAAAUCUAGAGAGGAGCUCAGGAACAUGAUGGAAUCCCAACAUAGGAAACAAAUGAAAUCCAUAAAACAGAUGCAAACAGAUUUCCAGGAGAUUAAAAACUCCAUUGAAAGCUCACACAGCAGAAUGAGCCAAUGUGAUGACAGAAUUACAGAUAUAGAAGAUAAGAUUGCAAUUAGUGACCAGGAAAAGAAAAAUUGCUUUAAAAUUGUAAGGGACCAUGAGAAAUCAAUCCAGCAGGUGCUAGACGAUGCAAAGAAUAAUAACAUAAGACUGAUCAGAGUCAAUGAAGAAACAGGAGAGAGUGCAGAUGACAUAAAAAAAUUUUCACAGAAGUGAUGGCAGAAAACUUCCCAAGCAGUGGAAAAGAACUGGACAUACAGAUAAGGGAGGCAUACAGGACUCCAACUAGCCUUGAUCAAAAAGACCUACACACAGGCAUAUAAUAGUUAGGAUUCCAGAAACCCAACAGAAGAACAAAAUUCUACAAGCAGUGAGAGAAAAGAAACAAAUCACAUACAAAGGAAAGCCAAUUAGAAUCAUGGCAGACUUCUUAACACAAACCCUCAAGGCAAGAAGAGCUUGGAGUGAUGUAUUUCAAGCCCUAAAGGAAAACAGCCUCCAACCCAGAUUGAUGUACCCUGAAAAACUCUUUCAAAUUGAUGGAGAAAUAAGAUAAUUUUAUGACAAAGAGCACCUUAGGAACUUCAUGAAUACCAAACCAGCACUAUUUUAGACAAUAUCCUAGGAAAAGACAACGAGGAUCACAACCGCAGGAAGGCCAGCAGAAUGAAUCCAUUGGGUGUGUCAAGAAAUUAAAUGCAACAGGGGAGAAUGCAACCAAAAGAAAAAUUCAUGACAAUGGUAAGUCAAUACAUAUCAGUUAUAACUAUCAGUGUUAAUGGUCUCAAUUCACCAUUCAAAAGAAAUAGACUGGCAGAAUGGGUUAAGAAGCAAGAUCCAACAAUAUGCUGCAUACAAGAAAGACACUUAAUUCAAAAAGAAACUCAUAGAAUGAAAGUUAAAGGAUGGAAAACAAUAUUCCAUGUGACUGGAACACCCAAAAAAGCAGAAGUAGCUAUCCUCUUUGCAGAUCAAGUAGAUUUCAACCCAAAAUCUGAAACACUUCUGGUCCCAAGAAUUUCAGAUAAGGUAUAAUCAACUUGUAUGUAUGAAUCUAUUGUGAACAUGUGUUUUCAUUCCUCUUAAGCAAAAACUUAAGAACAGAACUGUUGUUUCUUAACAGUAAUACAAGUAAUUUCUAUGUUGUUUUCCAAAAUAGUUUUAUCAUUUUACAUUCACAUUAGCCAUAUUCGAAAGUUCUAACUGGUUUGCACUUAUGCUGAGAGCUGUUCUUUUAAACUUUUGACUUCAUCUCCCUAAUAAGUGUAUAAUACGAUUUGUUACUGUACUGAUUAGUAUUUUUCUGAUUCUAGUGUUGCACACAUUUCCUUGUGCUGUACUGGCUAAUUAUCAUCUUCUUGUGUCUAUUUUUUAAUUGGGUUGUCUAUUAAUGAGCUGUAAGAGUUCUUUAUAUAUUCUAGCCUUAGGUUAUAUGUUAUAAAUAUGGUCUACUUUUCAUUAAGUACUAUUUUUCAUUUUCUUUAUGAUGUCAUUUAAAGUUCUAAAUUUUGAUGGAAUCUCAUUUAUGAUUUGUCCCGGCCCGCGGGUAAGUCAACGGAGACCCUAGAGGGGGAGCAAGGAUGAGAGGGGACAGGGGACACGAGAGAUGGAGACAAGACAGGUUUCUGAUCAAGUCUCGUUUAUUGCGGAAGCUGCUACAACAUAUAUACCGUAGGGCAAGAGGGGAGGAGCAAGAGGAGUGUACUGGGGCUACUUCCUUGUUGCCGGGUAGAUCUGCAACAAGCCCGGGCAUGUCCGUAAUAGGCACUCAAGAGUGCCAGCGGGGGGGGCAAGGCCCCCCACAAUGAUUUUAUUCUUUUAUACAUCAUGUUUUGUAUCCUAGGAAAUUCUUGCCUAUCCUAAGUUCAUAAACAUUUUCCCUUAUAAUUUCUUCUUAAAGUUUUAUAGUUUUAGUCUUUUAUAUUUAGGUUCAUAGAUUCUUUCAAGUUAUCUUUAUGUAUGGAAAUAAAGGGUUGAGGUAAUUUUUUACAUACAGAUAACGGGUGUUCUGGUACAAUUUGCUGAACAUACUAUCUUUUCCUCUGCUCUUCAGUUGAGAUUAUGUUCUAUAAAAUGUUAAUGUUAAGUAAUCUUUAAAAACUCAGUGGACCAUAUAUGUGUGGUUCUAUUUCCAGGUUUUCUGUUUCAUUCCAAUGAUCUAUGUCUUUCCUUAUGCCAACACUGCCUUGAUUACUGUAGCUUUAGAGGAUGCCUUAAAAUUAGGUUAUAAGGGCUGGAGAUUUAGCUCUGUGGUUCUGCUGCCUGCCUCACAAGCACAAGGACCCAAGUUCAAUCCCCGGUACCAAAAAAAAAAAAAAAAAAAAUUAGGUAAUAAAUGUCUUCCAACAGUUUUUUUCUUUUUUCUUUUUACUUUUCUAGGUCCUUUGUACUCCAACAUAACUUUUAAAUUUCAAUAUUCAAUUCUUCAUUUAUAGCAAGUAUACAUAGAACUGAAUUUUUAUAUAUACCUUGUGUUUUCUAAUCCUGCUAAAUUCAAAUACAAGUUCUAGGGCCUCCUAGAGAUUUCCUAGUAUUUUCUCUGUAGAUGAUCAUUUCAUCUACAUACAAAGAUUCUACUUCUACCUUGCCAGUCCUAUGCUAAUUGUUUCAUUUUAUUGCCAGACUAUUUUUUGUUUCGGCCUAUGUUUCAAAGUUUAAUGGACAGAUGAAAAGUAGGCAUAUCUGCCCUUGUUCCCCACCUGAAGGAGAAAGCAUUGUAUCUUCUCCAUUCAUAUAAGGCAUUUUUGCUGAAGUAUGGAGUACAUGUCUUCUCCAUUGAGAAGGUUCUGUUCUACUUCUAGUCUCCUGAUAGCUUUUACCAUGACCAGCUAUAGAAUUUAGUCCAAUACUUUUUCUGCAAUUACUGACAGGAUCAUAUGGCUUUUUCCUUUCCUCUGUUAAAAUGAUGACUUAUGAGGGUGGAUCUUCCAAUGCUGAACCAACACUGCCAUCCCUAUAAUAAAAUCACUUUCUACAUACUGCCAGAUCUGACUUCUAAUAGUUUGUUUUAUUAAAAAAAUUUAUCUAUAUUCAUACUUUUUUGUUUUAUUAUCUAGUUUUAGUAUUAGCACAAUGUUGAUUUCCUAAAAUGAGGGGAGAAGUGUUCCUUCUUUUUCCUGCUUUAAAUGUUUGAUAUAAUUCAUCAGUUAGAAUGUAUAUGAGUCUGUUGUUGUCAUAUAAGUAGGUUUUCAAGCUAGGAAUAUACUUUCUUUAAUAGGUGCUAUUCAAAUUUUAUAUUUCCUCCAGAGUGAGUAUCAUUAAUUUGUCUUCCAAGGUACUUCUUAGAAGUUGUCAAAUUAAUUUCAGAAAGGAUUUUUGUAAUAUGCUUUCUAUAGCCUUUUAAAUUCUAUAAAAUCUGUGGUAACGUCCUCUAAAUUUUGAUAUUGUAAUAAAAAUGUAUAAUUGAUACUGUGUAAUAAAAAGAAAAGGUCUAAAGGAGUAGGGGAAGUAGGAGGGGUAGGGGAAAGGAAAGAAAGAAAAAGAAAAAAUAUGAGAAAAGGAAAAAAAAAGGAAACAAAGUCUUUGCAAAUAGAGAAGGGUGGAGGG